GAAUGUGUUUACGAUCGAAUUGAGAAAAAAAAUUUCGCCCAAACAUCUCAAAAGCAAGAAAGAUUUGUUCUUAACAUUAUAGUUAUUGUCUGGAAAAAUGUACUAAUAACUUAGGAGUUAGGACCACCCUAUAUACUGGAUUAGGGACACGGCAUCGUGAUUAAUUAAUACUACAUCUGUUCCUGAAACUAAGAUUUUCUAUAUUUAUUUUGUGUUCCAAAAUUAUAGAUUUUCUAAAGUUUUAAGGUACUUUUAGUAGUUAAUGUUGAAAAGUUGUAUAAUUUUAAUAAACAUUAAUUAAAAAUAUUUGAAUUGAUUGAAUACUAUUGGUUAAUAUUUAUUAAAAAUGUAUAGUAAAAUAAAUAAUAAAUUCAAUUGUAAAUAUUUAUUAUAUUUUUAAUAUGCGUAAAUAUUCCAGAAAAUCUUUCUUUUAUAAACAUAGAAAGUAGUUAGUUACACACAAACAGAAUUGUAUUAAUUAAAUACAGCUUGGGCAAGUCGCACUUAAUGGACAUAAAUAUAAUUAAAGCUUCUGCGCGUUUGUAACCUAGGUUAAAAAGCUAAAAAGAAAUCAGAAGAUAUCAAACUGCCAAACAAAUAAGUCAUAGCUAAGGUUAUGUAUUAUCUGUUUUACUCUCUGUUCCUGAAAGUAGAAUUUUCUAGAUUUAUUUUUUGUUCCAAAAUAAUAGAUUUUCUAAAAUUUUAAGAUAUUUUUAUUAGUUAAUGUUAAAAAGUUGUAUACUGUUAAGAAACAUUAAUUGAAAAUAUUUGAAUUAGUUGAAUAUUAUUGGUUGAUAUUUAUUAGAAAAUAUAUAGUAAAAUAAAUAAUAAAUUCAAUUAUAAAAAAAUUAAUCGUCUCCUUAAUAUGCGUGAAUACUAUAAAAAAUUAUUCUUUUGGGAACACAUAGAGUAAAAUAUACUAGAUCUUGAUCCGCGCCACCGCGCGGAUGUUGGAUUUAACUGCGUUCAAUGUAAAUUUAUAAACCAAAUUGAUUUUUAUAAAAUGUCCAUUUAUAUUUUUAUGUUUUGCAAAAUAUAUUUAGAGCAGAAUAUAUUAUAUUAUAAUAUAAAUGUUUGAUAAUAUUUUUUUUUUGUACGUAAUAUUAUCUAUACUAUACUAAAAGGAACUAAUAAAGCCUUCUAAAGCUGUCCACGUCACUUAUUAAAUUUAGCCAAUCAGAACAUUUCAAUUAAAACUUUGGCUUUUGUUUCUAAUGUGCCUAUAUUAAGUAAAAAAUGCCCAAAUCAAUACAGAAAUAAUUAAACCCAACAACAGUGGGCCAAGAGAGUGUCAUUAGCCCAGUUUGAAAAAAAAAAGCAAUUAGCCCAAUUCGAAAAAGAGCUUCCAAUCCUACUAUGGAUCCGCGCAGUCUCUUCUCCUCCCCUACUUCGUCUUCCCCGCUCGAAACUUCUCGGCUGAGUUCUCAUCGAUUCACUUUCACACAUUCAAUUCUCGACUCCACUUCGAUCAAUCAAUUUGAUCUUUAUGAUUUCGUUUCGGCUCCCUCCUUUCCUCCUUCUUUAUAUACUGUUCUUCUUCCUGUGUUCAAAUCAAAACCCUAGAACCACUCAAACCUCGAUCCAUGGCGAUGAAAUCAAAUGGGAAGUCCAUUGUCUCCUUCAAUCACGAUGAAAAACUCAUGUUCUUCAAAGAUGUCUCACUGGGUCACCACGAAGCUCAGUUGCGAUUCCGGCUCAUCCAUUUCUGAGAGGCUUGGAACCCAGUGAAGAAGACGAUUAUUCGCCUGGAGAUGAUGCUCAUCGACGAACAGGGAACUGUAAUUUAUAAACUCAACAACUUUGGAGGAAACAUCCAAAAGCCAUGUGGAUUCUGCAGAGGGGAGUAAAAGGAGUUGUUACAGUGCUGAGAUAGAGAAUGCUAAGCGCUCCAAGUGUGGGAAUUAGAGCUUGCGUAAGCGUUCUCAAAGCUUGCAAGGUUCAUUGCAGUUUAAGUGUUUGUUUUCAGAUUUAUUAUAGACUCAUGAUUUUCUUUCAGUUUCUGCUUUCCAGAGUUUAUUUCACUUGCCAAAAUUUUUACUACUUUGAAUGAUUACGAGUUAAUGAUCAUGUGUUAUGCA